rnacentral:rRNA from 1 species
AUGGCCGUGCCGGUGUGGUUCUUCUCGCUGGCCUCGCUCGGCGCUCUCCAUGCCUUUGCCAUCAGCUUCCGCCUCAUCGCCUACUUGUCGGUGUUCCCGCGCCGGCCCAUUGACCUCCGCCGCCGGUACGGCGCCUGGGCUAUCGUCACCGGCCCAACUUCCGGCAUCGGGCGCUCCAUGGCCCUGGAGCUCGCGGAGAGGGGCCUCAACCUCGUCCUCGUCGGCCGCGACCCCGCCAAGCUCGGGGACGUCUCCGAGACGAUCUCCAGGGCGCACGCCGCCGUGCAGACCAAGACCGUGCUGUUCGAUUUCUCCCCUGUCUCCACCGCGCAAGGCGACGAGGCGAUGCGGCGGCUCCGGGAAGCCGUGGCGGGGCUGGACGUAGGGAUGCUGGUGAACAACGCGGGCGUGGCGAAGCCGGGCGCGGUGUACCUCCACGAGGUGGACGUGGAGGCGUGGGUGAGGAUGAUACGGGUGAACGCGCUGGCUCUGACGGAGGUGACGGCGGCGGUGCUGCCGGGGAUGCUGCGGCGAGGGAGGGGCGCCAUCGUGAACAUCGGCUCCGGGUCAUCGUUCGCCCUCCCGUCCUACCCCCUCUACUCCGUCUACGUCGCCACCAAACGGUACGUUCUUGAGUUCUCCAGGAGCCUCUCCGUGGAGUACAAGAGCAGUGGAAUCGAUGUGCAAUGUCAGGUCCCGUUGCUGGUGGAGACGAACAUGGUGUCGAGCGCGGCCAGGCUCAUCCGGCAGUUCGUGCUGACCCCGGACGCCUACGCGCGCGCGGCGGUAAGCUGGAUCGGGCACGGAACGCUGUGUGUGCCCAACGCCGUCCACCGCCUCCAGGGAUGGUACAUCUGCUUCUGGCAGGAUUUCAUCACCGAUGGGAGCUUGUUGCGGCGACAUCUAAAGCAGAGGGUUAUCUUUCGGAGGCUCAGAUCAUGGAGGAAAUCACAGGGCAACUGUGUUGCUACCCGGAAUAACAAUGCUAGUGCUUAA